GUGGCGUGGCGUAGCGUGGCUCGACGUGACGUGACGGGCGACCGGCAAAGCGGCGAAGUAGGGAGGAGACGCCGCGGGCAGCAAGGAGCACGGGCAGUGGAAGCUGGCUCUAAGAGCUCCUCCUCUGCUGCGGCCGUCGCUACGGGCCGAAAAGGAGAACGGAAAGAAGGGAGGGAGCUACCCAGAUUCUCAGGGCUGUGUGCUAACACGGAAAGGAGGGGGCGGGAGGAGUUGGCUGCUUCCAAUAGAGCCCACUCUGGGGCUGGACAAGCACCCCGCCUUCUGAUCCUCCUCCCUCUGCUUUCCUCCUCCCACCUCUUACCCCUAGCCCGAGGCCUGACCCUGAAACCUUCCCAAGCUUGGACUCUAUCGUGGGGCUCCAGACUCCACCCCGAGUCCAAAGUUUUCCAGCAGCCGAUGAUGGCAGAUUUUUUUAAAAGGGCAUCUCAAACCGGAAGGGGUUAUAAUGUGCAAGAAGUAGCCACUAAGUUGUUUUGUGGUGAUGUGUGUUCAAAGGUUACAUCAGACUUUCUUCAGAAAGUGGGGGAAGUGAUCCAGGAAGCAGGAGUCAGAUAUUCGAAGCUCAUUGUCCAUUGGAACAAAUUCCUGGCUGAUAGAAGUAGAAGAACAAAAGAGAACUGUCACCUGUGGCCAGAAAUAUAGAUGUCACAAUUGUCACAAAUCAAAUAACAACUUGCUCACUCUGAAAGAAAUCCACAAAUUCAGUGAUGUCAGAAUCUACACAUUAGUAUGUAGGAUUACUGAAGCUCUUCCUGGAGGAGGCAGCAGCAGUCAUAGAGGAGAAAAAGGGUCUUCAGUGUUCCUUCAGAAUUUCUUGUAUAUCCACUUUACUAUUUUCUCCAUCUCUGACUCUGUGUCUCUGCUUCUUGGGGAAAUAUAUUUAAAAACUACCUUUAAUUUUCAUUACAAAAGUAUUGGCAUAUUGUCUUAUUUUUUUCUUGAAUGAAAUUGUUAUUUAUGUGAUAUGUUACCAUUUUUUGGAAUAAAUUAUUAAUUUCUAUUUAAAUUUGAAUGCUU
rnacentral:lncRNA from 1 species